rnacentral:rRNA from 1 species
AUUGAACGCUGGCGGCAGGCCUAACACAUGCAAGUCGAGCGGGGUUUUCGGACCUAGCGGCGGACGGGUGAGUAAUGCGUAGGAAGCUACCCGAUAGAGGGGGAUACCAGUUGGAAACGACUGUUAAUACCGCAUAAUGUCUACGGACCAAAGUGUGGGACCUUCGGGCCACAUGCUAUCGGAUGCGCCUACGUGGGAUUAGCGAGUUGGUGGGGUAAUGGCUCACCAAGGCGACGAUCCCUAGCUGGUUCGAGAGGAUGAUCAGCCACACUGGAACUGAGACACGGUCCAGACGCCUAGGGGAGGCAGCAGUGGGGAAUAUUGGACAAUGGGCGCAAGCCUGAUCCAGCCAUGCCGCGUGUGUGAAGAAGGCCUUCGGGUUGUUAAGCACUUUCAGUAGGGAGGAAGGGUGUUGUGUUAAUAGCACAGCAUUUUGACGUUACCUACAGAAGAAGCACCGGCUAACUCUGUGCCAGCCGCCGCCGUAAUAC